rnacentral:rRNA from 1 species
AAGUCGUAACAAGGUUUCCGUAGGUGAACCUGCGGAAGGAUCAUUAACGAGAUCAUGCCCCCCGGGGUAGACCUCCCACCCCCUGUCUACAAUACCCUUGUUGCUUUGGCGGCCCCGUCGCAGGACAACCGGCCCCGGCUGGUCAGCGGCCGCCAGAGGACUCAAAACUCAUAUCAUCUCUGUCGUCUGAGUACUAUACAAUAGUUAAAACUUUCAACAACGGAUCUCUUGGUUCUGGCAUCGAUGAAGAACGCAGCGAAAUGCGAUAAGUAAUGUGAAUUGCAGAAUUCAGUGAAUCAUCGAAUCUUUGAACGCACAUUGCGCCCCCUGGUAUUCCGGGGGGCAUGCCUGUUCGAGCGUCAUUACAACCCUCAAGCUCUGCUUGGUAUUGGGCGUCACCCCCCGGGUGCGCCUCAAAAUCAGUGGCGGUGCCGUCUGGCUUCAAGCGUAGUAAUACUUCUCGCUUUGGAGCCCGGGCGAGCGUCCCGCCAGAACCCCCAUAUUUUUUUUCAGGUUGACCUCGGAUCAGGUAGGGAUACCCGCUGAACUUAAGCAUAUCAAUAAGCGGAGGAAAAGAAACCAACAGGGAUUGCCUCAGUAACGGCGAGUGAAGCGGCAACAGCUCAAAUUUGAAAUCUGGCCCUUCGGGGUCCGAGUUGUAAUUUGUAGAGGAUGUUUCGGGUGUGGCCCCGGUCUAAGUUCCUUGGAACAGGACGUCAUAGAGGGUGAGAAUCCCGUAUGUGACUGGUGGCCUACGCCCAUGUGAAACUCCUUCGACGAGUCGAGUUGUUUGGGAAUGCAGCUCAAAAUGGGUGGUAAAUUUCAUCUAAAGCUAAAUAUUGGCCAGAGACCGAUAGCGCACAAGUAGAGUGAUCGAAAGAUGAAAAGCACUUUGGAAAGAGAGUUAAACAGUACGUGAAAUUGUUGAAAGGGAAGCGCUUGCAACCAGACUUGCACGCGGCCGAUCAACCGGUGUUCUCACCGGUGCACUCGGUCGCGUUCAGGCCAGCAUCGGUUUCGGCGGUUGGAUAAAGGCCCUGGGAAUGUAGCUCCUCUCGGGGAGUGUUAUAGCCCAGGGUGCAAUGCAGCCCGCCGGGACCGAGGACCGCGCUUCGGCUAGGAUGCUGGCGUAAUGGUUGUAAGCGAC